GACAGAGGGUGCAAACGUUGUUCGGAAUUACUGGGCGUAAAGCGCGUGUAGGCGGCUCUGCAAGUCAGGUGUGAAAUCCCACGGCUCAACCAUGGAAAGUGCACUUGAAACUGCAGGGCUAGAGUCCUGGAGAGGAAGGUGGAAUGCUUGGUGUAGAGGUGAAAUUCGUAGAUAUCAAGCGGAACACCGGUGGCGAAGGCGGCCUUCUGGACAGUGACUGACGCUGAGACGGCGAAAAGCGUGGGGAGCAAACAGG
rnacentral:rRNA from 1 species